GACGAACGCUGGCGGCGUGCUUAACACAUGCAAGUCGAGCGGUAAGGCCCUUUCGGGGGUACACGAGCGGCGAACGGGUGAGUAACACGUGGGUGACCUGCCCUCAGCUCUGGGAUAAGCCUGGGAAACCGGGUCUAAUACUGGAUAUGACUCCAUGACGCAUGUUGUGGGGUGGAAAGCCUUGUGCGGCUGAGGAUGGGCCCGCGGCCUAUCAGCUUGUUGGUGAGGUAACGGCUCACCAAGGCUUCGACGGGUAGCUGGUCUGAGAGGACGAUCAGCCACACUGGCACUGCGACACGGGCCAGACUCCUACGGGAGGCAGCAGUAAGGAAUAUUGCGCAAUGGGCGAAAGCCUGACGCAGCGACGCCGCGU
rnacentral:rRNA from 1 species